rnacentral:lncRNA from 1 species
UCAUCCAUUACUUGAUGUCUUUUGAACUUUGAGAAAAUAUAGGUUGAGUCCCUUCUCUUAUUAAAAAUAUGUAUUUCUUCCAUCUCAUUUUUUCCAAAAAAGCUUUUAUGAUAGUGUCUGUUUAUAAUUUAUUCUUUUUGUUUUAUAUGGGCUUUAGAAGUUUUUUAAGUGACCAUAUUGUCACCACUUUCAAAGUUAGACUUUUCAAAAUAGAAAAAUCUAAAUUUCUUCCAGUUUUCUUUUGCUUUUUCUAUUUUUCUUUAAUGUUCUGCUUAACAAUAAUAUUUCUAAGUUCUAAUCUAAAUUUAUGAGAUACCUCAAAUCAGGGAGAUAUAUAUAGAUAUAUAUAUACACACAUACUCCUCUUUAUGAUGUCUAUGUGAUAGGAUUGGUUUUCAGUACUUUAGAAAGUAUGUCACUUUAUCUCUUUCCCACUGUUGAAAGAACUGCCAUCAAAACCUCCUGGGUCAUGAUCUCAUGGUUUGGACAGCCAGAACUCUUCUGGUUACUUAAGAUGUUCAUAUUUCUAAGCAUUUCCACUUAGUUAUGUCUCUCUAAAAUUUCAUUAUUA